rnacentral:rRNA from 1 species
UUCUUUUAGAUUUUUUUAAAAGUAUUUUCUGCCCAAUGAUUAAUUUAAAUGGCUGCAGUAUCUUGACUGUACAAAGGUAGCAUAAUAAUUAGUUUUUUAAUUGAGGACUUGAAUGAAUGGAUAGAUGAGGAAUUUAUUUUAUUUAUAUUAUUUUUAUAACUUUAUUAAUUGGUAAAAAAGCUAAUUUAUAUUUUAGGGACGAGAAGACCCUAUAGAAUUUUUAAUAUUUUAUAUAAUUAUAUUUUUAGUUUAAUUUUUAGCUUAUAAAUAGAUUUUUUUAAUUGGGGUGAUUUAAAAAUUUAUUAAACUUUUUUUUAUUAAAUUCAUUUAUUUAUGAUUUAUUUUGAUCCUAAAUUUAAGAUUAGAAGAUAAAUUACCUUAGGGAUAACAGCGUAAUUUUAAUUGAAAGUUCAUAUUUAUAUUAAAGUUUGCGACCUCGAUGUUGAAUUAAGAUAAAAUUUUGGUGUAGAAGCUUAAAAUUUUUGGUCUGUUCGACCAUUAAAAUCUUACA